rnacentral:rRNA from 1 species
AACGAACGAUAGCGGCGCGCCUAACACAUGCAAGUCGCACGAGAAAGGGCUUCGGCCCCGGUAAAGUGGCGCACGGGUGAGUAACACGUGGGUAACCUGCCCUCGAGCGGGGGAUAACAUUCCGAAAGGAGUGCUAAUACCGCAUAAGACCACAACCUCGAAAGAGGAUGGGGUAAAAGCUGGCCUCUAUACAUAAGCUAGCACUUGAGGAUGGGCCCGCGGCGCAUCAGGUAGUUGGUGAGGUAACGGCUCACCAAGCCUAAGACGCGUAGCUGGUCUGAGAGGAUGAUCAGCCACACUGGAACUGAGACACGGUCCAGACUCCUACGGGAGGCAGCAGUGGGGAAUCUUGCGCAAUGGGCGAAAGCCUGAUGCAGCGACGCCGCGUGAGUGAUGAAGGCCUUCGGGUUGUAAAGCUCUGUGGGGAGAGACGAAUAAGUGCCGCCUAAUACGUUGCAUGAUGACGGUAUCUCCUUAGCAAGCACCGGCUAACUCUGUGCCAGCCGCCGCGGUAACAC